AUUUUUCCCACAUUCCUUACAUUCAUAGUUCUUCACACCAGUGUGUGUAAGGGUGUGUCUAUCAAGGUGACUCUUCCGGAUGAAUUUUUUCCCACAUUCCUUACAUUCAUAGUUCUUCACACCAGUGUGUGUAUGGGUGUGUCUAUCAAGGGUACUCUUCUGGAUGAAUUUUUUCCCACAUUCCUUACAUUCAUAGUUCUUCACACCAGUGUGUGUAUGGGUGUGUCUAUCAAGGUCACUCUUCCGGAUGAAUUUUUUCCCACAUUCCUUACAUUCAUAGUUCUUCACACCAGUGUGUGUAAGGGUGUGUGUAUCAAGGCUACCCUUCCGGUUGAAUUUUUUUCCACAUUCCUUACAUUCAUAGUUCUUCACACCAGUGUGUGUAAGGGUGUGUGUAUCAAGGCUACCCUUCCGGUUGAAUUUUUUCCCACAUUCCUUACAUUCAUAGUUCUUCACACCAGUGUGUGUAAGGGUGUGUGUAUCAAGUUGACUCUUCUGGAUGAAUUGUUUCCCACAUUCCUUACAUUCAUAGUUCAUCACACCAGUGUGUGUAAGGGUGUGUGUAUCAAGUUGACUCUUCUGGAUGAAUUGUUU